rnacentral:lncRNA from 1 species
GGCGGCUUGCUCCUCAUAGCCACGGUCGGCGGCGAGAUGACUAUAGCCAGUCUUGUAGGAGGACAAGGCGCUGGAGCAGCAGGGGUUGCCUAUGCCGGUUUCACGGUCGUAAGUGCUGCCACGGCCCAAGCGGUUAAACAGCCCGGAGAGUAGACCCAGAUGAUUGUUGACGGUGUUGGGGCUCGGGUCGUCCACACGGCGGUUGGGGAGCCAGUGCGCCUCCAGGUAGACGAGUAGGUCGUCAUCAGUGCAGGUUAGCAGGGUACGGCCAUGGGGCAGGGAGGCCAGCCAGGCAGAGAGGUCACGGCCAGCAGCCUCCUGGCGGGCAAUGGUUUCGCGAGCCAACGAGCUGUCGCAGACGGUGGCGGCCUUCGCGAGGGCGACGGUAUAAAGCUG